CAGUUGAACGCAAACAGCCAAAAAUGCUGUUGUCACAAAGUGAAGGACAAGCUUCUGAAGCUCUGUCCUUAAGGGGUUAAGAAGGAUCGUAUUGGAAAGAGAUAUGCAAAAGCUUGCUGCAAAAAAAGAACUUGCAGAAAAAUUGUGAUUGCAUGACUUAAGACAUGGUGCUGCAACAACUAAAGCAAGUUAAUGUAAACAGAGCUCUGGAAAUUGACAAUAUUCACCCACAAGUACUAAAGGAGCUAAGUGUGGCAAUAAGUGAACCUCUAUUUUAUAUCUUUCAAGAUUCUUUUCUUUCAGGAAUUGUACUGGAGGAAGGCAUAUUCCUAUAUUCAAAAAGGGUUCAAAAUCUUUGCCUGGAAAUUAAAGACCUGUGUGCUUAACUUCUGUUGCUGGGAAAGUAUUUCAAAGGCUAUCAAGAGAUAAUAUUCAGGAAUUCAUUGAAAAGAACAUUGUUAUUAGAAAUAAUCAUCCUGGUUUUAUGAAACAUUGAUCAUGCCAAACUAAGAUAAUUGCAUUCUAUGAAGAAGUAAGAAGUAUAGAUUGUGGAUGCGAUCUACAUGGACUUUGCCUAGGUGAUGGAUACGGUUCCUCACAAAAGAUUAGUCUUCAAACUAAAAGAAAUUGGUCUAGAUGAAAAUUAUUGGGUAGAAGAUUAGCUUAAAGAUAGAAUAUGUAGAGUUGUCAUUAAUAGUACAUUUUCAAAAUGGACAAAAGUGGUAAGUGGUGUCCCUCAGGGUUAUGUUCUGGGACUGUUUCU